GAAAGAAGACGAAGUUUGAAUAGUUUCUUCUAUCCCUGUCUUUCCUUCUUCCAUUUGAAAGAAAGGACUCUGGGGUUUUUACUCUGUUACCUGAUCAAUGACAGAGCCUUCUAAGGACAUUCCAAGACAGUAUACAGUCCUGUGGUCUACUUGGAAAUCCAUAUAGAUAACAUUUCAAGGGAGAUACCCUGUUGGUUUUGACUGGAUAUUCAUAUAAACUUUUUAAAGAGAUGAGUGAUAGAGCUAACCCUUAUCUGUAAGUUUUGAAUUUAUAUUGUUUCUUCCUAUGUACAAAACCAUUUUUUUCCUACAAAUAGUUUUGUUUUUUUUUUUUUUCGUGUUGGGGGGUUGUAAAGGAAAGCAGAAUGUUUUAUCAUGAUUUUGCUUCAGCAACUUUGGGACAAAUUAAAAGUCCUAAACUCUGGUGCCAGACUUCUACUUCCUAGAGCGUUUCUCCUGGAAUAUGGCUGAAGGUAGAGCAUGGCAAACCCAGUUUGUUCUGCCACUCCAGAUCCAACCCACCCCUAAUGGAAAUGCUUGAUGCUUUUGUUUCAAGUAUCCCAGCCACUAGUUUUGGUGAAAUGGCUGAAGUCACCAGCUUUCUGUAGCUGCGCGUGUGUUGUGGCAUGAAAGCCUUGUUUGAGAGUAAGUCUCCCAGCAACCUCAGGUUAAACUGGCAAGAAAGGCCGUCGGUUUUGUAAUGUGUUUAGUGUUCAGAUAUUCCAUCUAUUAAGUACUCCCCCCACCUCUACUUCUGAUAAGUUAAAGGCCACAUGAGACAUUCGAUCAAAGGAUUAAUAUGGAUUUAGCUGGAAAAUGGUGCCCCAGGUGGUGUAGAGCCAAGAUUUUGAACCCAGGACACCCAAGUCCAAAAGCCUGUGGACUCGACUGUCAUAAUCAGACUACUAAAAAAUGCCAAGUAAAAAUAUACUGGUAGAAUUAAAUUUAUAAAGCAACCUAAAGGCUAUAAAGUGGAUAAGUUUUGUCCUGGUUAUGAGUUUCACUAGUGUGAUGAAAUCUAAGCCACGUGACACUUCACCCACCACUUAGCAGUUCUGUUCCAAAUAGGAAGGACUUAAAGCAGGACUAAGGCUUCGCUUUGGAGGGGUAAGUGCCAAUGAAGUUUUGCCGAAGUACGUACUCUGAUGGCAAACUAAAAUGAACCCCUGGUAGCCUAGAUUUUUCUAGAUCUCAAAGUUCCAGUUGGAGCUCAUCGAAGUCAUAAGUUAGCCCAAGUGAUAAGGCUGAGUAGGCUUAGAACUGAGUGAAUACAUGUUAAAAUUUACCUUGUUAAUGGCGAUCAGUCCCAAACUUGGAUUUUAAAAGAAAGGGCCCGUGAGAAUGAACUUUGGGUCUCCUGGGACCCAUCAAGGAUGACAGCCUUCUCUGUUACCCCACAGCAUUCUCCCAAGUAGAUAUCUACCUGCCUUGGCUGGCUCCUUAAUUUAUGGUAGUCCCGUAGGUUUAAGAUAAACUGAAAAUGUAACAGGCAAUUUGGCAAUCUAGUAGCAUGUAUUAGCAUUGCUACAGGCUCAGGCCCAGCACAGUGCAUAUUCAAUACUUGGAUGACAGAGCAGGGUGUGGUGGGUUCCCUUGCUGGGAGAUGGGUAGGGAAGGCUUGAACCUGACUCCUAUCUGAUAGUGGUUCUUGACCGCUAGGGUAGAACUUGCUUUGUAAGAUAAUUUGCCCUGCCUUUAGAGUUUACACUUUUCAAUAGAAAUGCUCCUGAUACUGUGCCCACGGUAUACCAGCCAUUGGUCAGCCCAUCUGUAAACCUGCUGUGGGGCAAGACAAGGGCAGAAAAAGUUUUACUAUCCCUUCGCAUUAAGGGAGAGAAACAGUCCUGCCCUGUAAUUACUGCUUCCAGUGUGAGGUGCUAAUGCUAAUCAGGAUCUAAGGGAGAUGGAGGUGGUCACCCUGCAGGGCCCAAGAGGAGUGCUAGGUCUUGUAACUGGCUGCGGUCCUGUCCUAUAAAAUUUCGCAUUCCAGUCCUCCCUUGGUCCCUGUGGUUUCUGAUUUGGUGCUUUGGGUGAGAACUUUGCAUGCAGCCAUUUUAGAAAAGCAGUUCCUUCAGCAAAUGGUUGUUGCUACUUUUGUCAUUCUUCCAGCAGGUGGCAGUACAUCCACGAGGAUGUGGCAACCUGAUGGAGGUGUCAGGGAAGCCUGAAGAUUAAGUUUCAGGCCAGUGGCUCUUUAACUCCAAACUCGCCCUGGGAUUAGUGAUAGGGCCUGGGAAUCUAGGAAGUUCACUUUGAGAGAUGCUAUAGAAUCUCAAGAAGUGGAUUCCAGUUGUGUCCAAGAACUGUAAUCUAUUGAAGGCUGCUCCUGGGCUCUCUGAGUUACCCCGUUUAUUCAUGCUUGAUUGAUUUACCUCUAUUGCAUCUCUGUCUCCCCUCAGUUUUAAAAAAAAGUGUCAAAAAAGUUUUUCUCAUCAAAAAGAAGUUUCCUGAUCCUACCUCCAUGCCAGUCUGUUCCCUCUUAAGGACCACACUCCUGCCUCCCAAUCCUUAGCUGUCAGCAUUGUGGUUUCUGUCCCCACACCCUCUUCUGCUCACUAAGGGUGCCAGUAGCCAAAGGCUGCAAAUCUAGAGCUCAGUCUUCUCUCAUCUGACCAAUGAGCCCCCUCCUUCCUGCCUGAAACUCCCUCUCUCCCAUCAUUAGAAAACCUGGGCAGACACACCAGAGUGGUGGCUCUGGCGCUAGGCUGAGGUGGAGAGGGAAGGGAAAGAACUCUAUGAUGAGGGCCUAUCAGCAGUCUGACUUUAACCGAUUAAUGUGAGCCAGUGGCUGUCUCAUUGGCAAGGGAACCCAGUAACUGGAGAACGGUCUGGAGGAUUCCUCUUGCUGGUCCUUCUACAUGGAAAUAUGAACAUGUUCCUGCCAGCCUCUUGAGUGGAAGGACUUGGUUUUGUUCCCUGUUCUGUCCUAUGGGCCCAGAACAGUGCCUGACGUGUAGUAGGUAUCAGUAAGUGAUGGUUAAGGAAAUCUGGGGAAAUUUCCCCAACUGUAGGAAAACCUAUGGUGGUAGCAGUAGAAAAUCUUCAGGCCAGGAGUUAACAUUUUUGUGUUCAGCAUUAUUUUGGGAGUCUGGUAAAGCCUUUGAACCCCCCCUCAGAAUGUUUUCAAAAUCAUUUUUUAAAGGGAUUACAAGAAAAAUCUAUACCGAAAUAGGUAUUUAAGAACAAUCUUCUCGAUAGAAUUAUGUGUUAAUGAAUUAGAUGAGAUGUAUUAUAUUUACAAUACAGUUAGGGAGUUUGGUUCUGGUAACGGUCAAGUGGCUUAUAACAGACUAACAACCUGUUGAUAAAAUUAUAAACUAUGGACAAAUAUAAAAAAACUUUUGGAGGUGUCGAAGGGCAAUACCUGAAACUAAAGCUAAGCAGAUACCAUUCCUGGAAGGAGGUAAGGACACUGGGUGAGAUCCAUGUUUAAUUAGCUUUUCCUAUGGGUACCCCCUCCCUGCCCCCAUCAGCAUGAUUCCUCAGGCAUAGAGUUGAAAGCAAAAAGAAUUUUACUGCACUGAGGAGUUGCAUUGGAGUUUGAGUUGUUCCUGAAAAUGAGGGAGACAGAGGAGAAAGCUAGAAAACUUGCAUACUAAUUUCCUACAAAUUCUUGGCUGAGUCCUGAAUUGUGUAUGUUCAGGGCAAGAUUCUAGUGAGCCCAGGGAAAACAAUGGUGGAAAAGUAAGAGAGCUGGCUAUAGGUUCCAGCAGUGGUGCUAAAGAGUUUGGAGUUUAAGUUCUGCCUAGUUAGGGGGUUUUGAUAAAACACUUCUGAGUUUUUCUUUGAAACUCAGAAGGACCAUACUUUAGAAGUAAUAGCCACAUUCCAGGCUUAAGGACUAAACCCUAGGAUUAAGGCAAAUACAAAACCAAAAUAGACUCAAACUAACAAAGCCGAAAACUAAGCCCUCACAUAAUUGGAGAAUCUCCUGAAUUUAAUUGCCUACUAGAACAAAGUUCAAUAGCGUUCACAGGAAGAUAACAGAAUCCAGACUCACUAUAGUGUAUCCUAUACAAUAUCCAGUACAGUAAGCAAAAAAUUACUGGAUGUGCCAUGAAGUAUGAAAAUGUCCAUAAGAAAGUCAACUCAUUGAAAUUUGUGGGCAAAAACUUUAAUCAUAAAUAUGUUAAAGAAUUUUCGGGAAAAGAUGAAUAUAUUUAAUGAAACAAUUUCUGGAGAGAUGGAAACUCAAGAACCAAAUGGAAAUCUAGAACUGAAAAAAUUCACUAGAAGGGCUUCAUAGUAGAAGAAAAGAUUAAUAAACUAGAAGAUAUCAAUAAAAUUGGAGUUCAGGACAUGCUACCCCAAAAUAUGGCACCUUGGCAUACUGAAUAUUUCAAGCUGGUGGAAUUUAAAAGUGACAGGUGUAGGAAGGAUUUUCUGACCUUCCUGUGAAGCAAGUCAUAGAUCCCUCAUGUGAGAGGCACUCUUCCCUUCCCCUUAGGAUGCUGAGAGAAUUUGGAGGAACAGGCCUUGCUGUUUUCCUCAGUUUACUACACUUAGCUCAUACCCUUUUUUUCCAGUCCUAUCACAUUUUCCCAAACCACUCAUCAUCAAACCUAAUGUAAAAGACGGUCAGGUUUAACUCUUCAGGUUUUCAUUUCUUUAUAAGGGCUCUCCUGUCACAUAAACGUUAUAUCAGGUAAAUUUGUAUGCUUUCAUCUGUCUUUUAUUACCGGGACUCCAGCCAAGAAUUUAGAAAGAUAGAGGAAAAGAUAUUUUUCUUCUACGUUAUCAAAACUGAAACUCAAAGAGAAAAAAGACUGGGGAGAAUUGAGCCAGACUCUCAGUGAGAAUAUCAAAUUGUCUGACGUGUAAUUGAGAGCAAGAAGAGGAGAGGAGGAUUGGGGCAGGAAAAAACCUCUCUUCAAAACAUAAUGGCUGAAAAUUUUCUAAAUUUUAUGAAAAACUACCCACAGACCCAACCAAGAAAAAGUUAUACUUCAGCAGUUCAUAACCGAAUUAUUGAAAAAUAAAGAAGAAAACUUUAAAACAGUAAGCUAAAAAAUUCCAUGAGAUGCAAAGGAACAUCUAGAAGCAUGAUGGCUAAACUCUCACCAGGAAAACUAUGAGAUGAUGAUAUCUUUAAAGUGCCAAAAGAAAAAAAAAGCAAUCUAGAAUUCCAUAUCUAUGAAAUAUUCUUCAAAUAUGAAGGAGAAAUAACUUCUUUUUAAAUGAAGCUGAGAGAAGUCAUGAGCACACUUGCAGUUCAGUUCAAGAAAUGCUAAAGGAAGCUUUUCGGGCUGAAGGGGAAUAUCAGAUGGAAAGCUGGAUCUACAGGAAGAAAUAACACUGGAAAUGUGAUUGAGAGACCUGCUUCCGGUAGAGUUGAUGACUUUUAUGAAUGUUGACAAAACAUCUUCCAUGACAUCGGGAAGGUCUUCGUUGCGCAUUCACAUCUGUGUAAAAAGCGAUGAACAAUGACGACACGGAGAACUUUCUUUAUCACUAAGGUUGUAAAAUCAGGUCCAGCUGGGCAGAGAAUGAAGCUUUUCUUUCCAGGCCAAGUUUUAUUUGGUAAAAACCCUUUUUAUCACUUCCAAAAUGUCGACAGCCUUUGUAGUUUGCAAAGGUGACUGACAAAAUAAGGCCACGAUGAACAAAAACAAGGAGGUGCCACCGUCGGGAAUGGCCAGGCUGCUGUUUACCGAACGACCUGCUUUAAAAUGUUGUAAGAAAUGUCAUCUAGUCUAGAACACAUCACAUCAUUUGUCAAGGGAUCUGCUUCCUGUGGUUUUUUUUUGAUCCGAUCCAGAAAGUAGCUCAAUAAUUUCUGUGCGCAUGACUCCGUACUCUCGCUCACGUGUCUCCUGACAAGUGUGGGAGAUUUUUCUUUGGCCCUCUGGUAAGAAGGACGCUUCAACAAAAGCUUCUUGUGAAGUAGCAAAUCCAAGAGUUGGAAGUGGUCCAGCUUUUUUGAAUUGAACUUUCCUUACAUAAAAAAAACCCCUGCAUCUUUAAACACUUUUUCAAAAGGGACUCAUACAUCACGCUCUUUCAGUUUCUGUGGACUGAGGAGUGAGCAGGAGAGGGGAAUGCAGAGACAGUAAGUAGAUGACCCUCUCAGGGAGCUUGGCUGUGAGGGUGACGGUAAAGAUAUCUGUAGCUGAGGAAAAUUAUAGGGUUGAAAGAGAGUUUUCGUUUUUAUUUGUUUUGGUAUUUGAGAGACUUCGGUCCAUUUAAAUGGCCACUGAGAAGGGUUAAGGGAGCAAUAGAUAGAUGUUGGCCACAGAAGAGAGAGUGGUCCCUGAGGAGCUUGGGAAGGUGGAUGCCUUAGAGAGGAGGGAAGAUGGGUCUUCCAUGUUAAACUGGAGGUGCUCUCUCGUGAGUCCUUCCAUGCUCUUGUGAACUCAAAGGCAAGGUCAUUUGAUGAGAAGUGGGGAGAUGUCAGAGUCACAGGUUUGAGAAGAGCAGAAAAGGUCUCAAAUAGGGUGUUGCAUAGGAAGCAUAGAAAUAGACCCAAAUAAAUGCACACGAGAAUUCAGUAUAUAAAAUUGGCUCUUCAGACUGGUGAAGAUGGACUGGCGUUGGGAUAGCUGGAUAACCACAUGCUUAGAGAAAACAUUGUAUUAUACCUCUUGCCUUAUAUUUAAAUAAAUAAAUUUCAGGUGGAUCAAAGGUAUUAAUGUGAAAAGUGAAACAUUAAAGUACUAGAAGAAAAUACAGGAGAUUCUCUUUUAUAACUGUAAAGUUGGAAAGAUCUUUCUAAGAAUGAUAUAGAACCUAGAAUCUAUAAAAGAAAAAUGGAUAAUUUGCAUAAAAACACUACUGCAUUAUGGAAGAAUAAUGAACAAAGUUGAAAGAUGUGACAAAUGGAAAGAUAUUGGCACUGCACAUCAGACAAAUGUCUGUGAUGAAACUCUUCUACAAAUCAAUAAGAAAAAGACAAAUAAGCCAAUAGAAAAAUGGACAAAGGUUGUAAACAAAACUUUCUCAGAAAAUACAAAUGACUCAUAGAUAUAUGAAACAAUGUAAACUUCACUCAGAGUAAGAGAAAUGCGAAUUAAAACGACAGUGCUAUGUAUAUUUUUUUACCUGUUAGAUGGACAAAGAUCACCAAGUUUGCUAAUGUGCCCUUGGCAAGAGGGGCUCCCUGUGCAUUGCCCUAGGGCGUGAGAUUUGGCACAACCUCUGGGGAGAGAGUGAGUCGGCUGUAGCUGUCUGUUAUGGGCUGAGUUGUGUAGCCCCCAAAAUUCAAAUAAAUUUCAAAAUGUUGAAAUCAUAA